GGUAGUCCACGCCGUAAACGAUGGAUACUAGCUGUUGGAGGUAUCGACCCCUUCAGUAGCGAAGCUAACGCGUUAAGUAUCCCGCCUGUGGAGUACGGUCGCAAGACUAAAACAUAAAGGAAUUGACGGGGCUCCGCACAAGUGGUGGAGCAUGUUCUUUAAUUCGAUGAUAAGCGAAGAACCUUACCAGGGCUUGACAUCCAGGGAAGCACUGCGAAAGCAGCGUGUGCCUUUUGGAACCCUGUGACAGAUGAUGCAUGGCCGUCGUCAGCUCGUGUCGUGAGAUGUUUGGUUAAG
rnacentral:rRNA from 1 species